AUACGAAGGGGGCUAGCGUUGUUCGGAAUCACUGGGCGUAAAGCGUGCGUAGGCUGACUAUCAAGUCAGAGGUGAAAUCCCAAGGCUCAACCUUGGAACUGCCUUUGAAACUGAUAGUCUAGAGACUCGGAGGGGAUAGUGGAAUUCCUAGUGUAGAGGUGAAAUUCGUAGAUACUAGGAGGAACACCAAUGGCGAAGGCAGCUAUCUGGACGAGUACUGACGCUGAGGUACGAAAGCGUGGGGAGCAAACAGGAUUAGAAACCCGGGUAGUCC
rnacentral:rRNA from 1 species